GAUGAACGCUAGCGGGAGGCCUAAUACAUGCAAGUCGAGCGGUAGAAUGACUUCGGUUGUUUGAGAGCGGCGAACGGGUGAGUAACGCGUACACAAUCUACCUUUAAGAGGGGAAUAGCCCUGGGAAACUGGGAUUAAUGCCCCAUGGCAUCACGGGAUGGCAUCGUUUUGUGAUUAAAGCUGAGGUGCUUAAAGAUGAGUGUGCGUCUGAUUAGCUAGUUGGUACGGUAACGGCGUACCAAGGCGACGAUCAGUAGGGGGGCGUGAGAGCGUGGACCCCCACACGGGUACUGAGACACGGACCCGACUCCUACGGGAGGCAGCAGUAAGGAAUACUGGUCAAUAGGAGGAAACUACUGAACCAGCCAUCCCGCGUGCAGGAAGAAU
rnacentral:rRNA from 1 species